rnacentral:rRNA from 1 species
UACGUAGGGGGCUAGCGUUGUCCGGAUUUAUUGGGCGUAAAGAGCGUGUAGGCGGCCAGGUAGGUCUGCUGUGAAAACUCGAGGCUCAACCUCGAGACGUCGGCGGAAACCAUUUGGCUAGAGUCCGGAAGAGGAAAGUGGAAUUCCUGGUGUAGCGGUGAAAUGCGCAGAUAUCAGGAAGAACACCAAUGGCGAAAGCAGCUUUCUGGGACGGUACUGACGCUGAGACGCGAAAGCGUGGGGAGCGAACAGG